rnacentral:rRNA from 1 species
UACAGAGGUCUCGAGCGUUAGGCGGAAUCACUGGGCUUAAAGCGUGUGUAGGCGGCGGGCUAAGUACCUUGUGAAAUCCCACGGCUUAACUGUGGAACUGCUGGGUAUACUGGUUCGCUUGAGCGGUCUAGGGGCGAGCGGAACAAAUGGUGGAGCGGUGAAAUGCGUUGAUAUCCACAGGAACUCCGGUGGCGAAGGCGGCACGCUGGACCUCAUCUGACGCUGAGGCGCGAAAGCGUGGGGAGCGAACAGG